CGCGUAGGCGGACUAUUAAGUCAGGGGUGAAAUCCCGGGGCUCAACCCCGGAACUGCCCUUGAUACUGGUAGUCUUGAGUUCGAGAGAGGUGAGUGGAAUUCCGAGUGUAGAGGUGAAAUUCGUAGAUAUUCGGAGGAACACCAGUGGCGAAGGCGGCUCACUGGCUCGAUACUGACGCUGAGGUGCGGAAGCGUGGGGAGCAAACA
rnacentral:rRNA from 1 species